rnacentral:lncRNA from 1 species
UCAUAAGCAUUCAUAACAACCAUCUAAUACCAAGAUAAUCAAAUUAAAGAAAUAGUCAAUAUCUGCGUAAAAUAUAGAGUUGCCAAAAUGACACCAAUACAAUAUCUGAAAUAACUGGGAAAGAAACACUAGUGGAACAUACUCCACUAGCUAAUGCCUACAUCGAAUUCUAGAAUAAAAUAGUAAGCAUCCUCGAAAGCAUGAGGUCCUACAAAAUCCGGAUGAAAGCUCCACGUACGGAUAACUUUAGCGUCGACUCGUAAGCUCUAGCGUACAACUGCACCUGCACCUAAAAAUUGAGAGUUGUAUGGCACUAGUACACACUUGUAUUAAGUAUGGGUAUAUACAAGCACACACCAAGGACAUGCAUCAUUAAGAAGAUCUCUCUCCUAACGAUAUGAAUUAUGGAAAGUCAAGUCAGUGGACUUGCCAAAAUCAAAUCUUGAAAGUCAUGCUGAGAGUAACAUGCAUCAUCAUACAUAUCAUUUUGCAAUCAAUACAUAAAAUAUUGCACAUAUCAUAUCACAGAGUUCAUAUCAUUCCUUCCUAUGACAUAAGACCUUGGAAUCAUGGACUUGACUUUAUGACUUCCAAAAAUGAGAGCUCAACACAUGGGAUCUCAACUAGGGAGCUUUCUUUAGCAAACACGGAGUCUGCUUCAUUCAUUCAUACAUACUUUCUUUUUAAUUCUUUCAUAUACUAAUGCAACCACCAGUCUUACCUAGGAUGCAGUUUAAGACUCUCAUCCGGUUCACUGUGCAAUGACAAAGAAUAACCUAGUAUCAUUACUUAAGUCUAGCUCACCUCUUCAUUGUCCUAUCCUAACACCUUUGGUAUCGUUUAUUUAAUUAUGUGCAUUCAUUGAGGCUGACCUCAUUCUUUCUUUGGGAACUUUAACUUUAACCGAUAUAUAUAUAAUGAGAGCACCAUGAAAUCCAGUGUCUGCCCCAUACCGAAAAGAGGUGGAAUCACCAGCUAAAGUGACCAAAACAUGCCAGAGUAUAUAGGGAGUCGAACCCUGCUAGAUCCCUAUAUUGGCAGUAUAGAGUCAAACACUAGGAGAUAUAAGGAGACCCAUACCCAUCAUGACGGACAUUCUCAUCUCAUGAUAUUUACGUGAACCUCUUCCCUUCCCGAAGGAAGGCAUCACCACUCAUAGCUAGCCUAUCGGUUCUCAAUAUGAAGUUCCAUUAUAUUCAACUCAUACAUCAUGGAAGCUGACUUCUAGCAUGAAAACAGCAUAGCUUAUUAGAUGAUUUCUCAUCUCAUAAUUUGUAUUGAGUAUGCAUUAACUUCAAUACUUUCAUCAGAGUGCUCAUAGAGACUGGUCUCAUCAUUAACUUUACGCUGUCAUAGGUGAGUACAUCUUGGUAACAUUUACUUAGGCUCAUUUGAGAUUUCUCUCAUCUUUCACAUUAGCCUCUUAUCAUGUUGUCACCACAUUCAUUAUCUUUAGCACAUUUGAUCUUCAUAAUUACUCACCCCUUUAAUGUGAAUGGUCAUUUCAUCAUAUGCCAACACACUUGGCCUUUUAGAGUGUUUCACACUCUUACUUAACUCUUUUAAGGUUACAUCAUCUCAUCACAUACAUCAUAGGUUCACUUACUUUUAAACAUAUGCUAGACUUAUGAGUCUAUACAUACAAGCCAUGAGGCUUCAUUUAUAGUUCGUUUAAGUGAUUCAUAUCUUUCUAAGAUUAUGUGAUACAAGACUUAUGCAUCUUGUAUGUAUGGCAAGAUCUCGAUUUUGAUCUAUGUAGGAAACAUUAUUUUGAACAUUUAUUCAAGUACUACUAAUAUGUCGAUACGGAAUUGGGCAAGGGAACCCGAUUUCGAAUCCCUUAUAUAACACCUACGUUUUUAUUUUUUUCCCCUUUCCUAAUCUUCACCCUCGUCUUGGGGACCCGAUUUCGAAUCCCCUCACUAACAUUGUGUUUCUUUCCUUUUUCCUUUCCCUCACUUCACCUUAGACGUUUAGGCAUUAGGGACCCGAGAACGUACCCCCACAAGCACAUUUUUUUAUUUUUCUUCUUUUUUUACUUAACCCUCUUGGUGUUGGCAGAGAGGAUGUAUGUUCUAAUCCUACUCCUCUCAUCUCAUUAUUUUUUAUUACUUUCUCCUUGUCUCCUCAUUGGACCGAGGAGGUCGUGGAGUCGAAUCUCACUCCUCCCAUCUUUUUUUAAAAUUUAUCAUUAUUUUCAUGUUUGACCAAGAGGUGAUGGGCUCGAAUAUCACUCCUCUCACUUAUUUAUUUUUAUUUUAAAGUAUGAGAAUCGUCUAAGGCACCCAAUUUUGAUUCCCCUUAACCUCAUUUCCUUACUUACAUUUUUUUUGUGAUUUUUAACGUAGUGAGGUCUUCAGUUCAAUUAUUAGUGACCUUACUUAUUUUACAUUCUUUUACAUUCCAUAUUAUACAACUUUGCUUGGCCGAAACCAACCAACAAGGUGCUGGAAAUUGGGUCAGGUUUUUCAGCUCAUUUUAUCAACAAUUAUACGUUAGUUCUUAGGGCAUUUCGUGAAUCAUUUAGUAUGUUUUCAGGUGUAGUUUCAUAGUUACAUUUAGCAAAGAGUUUUCUACUCAAAUCAGCCACAUUAUACCUCAUAUGAACACCACAAUUUAUGCAAGUUUUUGCACAUUAUAUACAACCAUAAAACAUGUCAGUUUUCGAACUUCAAACCGAAAGUAUAUGUCACAGUUUACACAUUGCACACACACAAUUUUUCACAUAAUUUCGGAAGACAUAAAUUAUCAUUCAUAAAAUUCCAAACACAGUUUCAUGAACAUAUUCAUCAUAAACAUCACAUUACACUACUAAUCUACCAGCAGACCUACCAACCUAAGAUCAUUGGGAGCUACUGACAGGGAACAUGUAAUGGCGAACAACCCUUGUUUUCGGAGUAGAUUCAUCUGAGACUUGAGGGUCUCUUGCGACAAAGGCCAAGAGGAAGAAACCCAUACCUGGUUUUAGCUUUCAACACCUUCAAAGUGCUGCAAAAUCCACCACUAAACCAACGUCCCACCUUACAUGAUGAGAAAUUACCUUUUUGCAUUACGUUUUCAAAUUAUCUUGUUGUUUGUAUUUUUUUUGUAAGUUCUUCAAGUAUGAAGAACUUUUGGAUUUUGUUUUGUUUCUUUUUUGUAACAAGAAAGAGAAU